rnacentral:rRNA from 1 species
AUGAACGCUGGCGGCGUGCCUAAUACAUGCAAGUCGCGCGAACGGACGAGAAGCUUGCUUCUCUGAUGUUAGCGGCGGACGGGUGAGUAACACGUGGAUAACCUACCUAUAAGACUGGGAUAACUUCGGGAAACCGGAGCUAAUACCGGAUAAUAUUUUGAACCGCCUGGUUCAAAAGUGAAAGACGGUCUUGCUGUCACUUAUAGAUGGAUCCGCGCUGCAUUAGCUAGUUGGUAAGGUAACGGCUUACCAAGGCAACGAUGCAUAGCCGACCUGAGAGGGUGAUCGGCCACACUGGAACUGAGACACGGUCCAGACUCCUACGGGAGGCAGCAGUAGGGAAUCUUCCGCAAUGGGCGAAAGCCUGACGGAGCAACGCCGCGUGAGUGAUGAAGGUCUUCGGAUCGUAAAACUCUGUUAUUAGGGAAGAACAUAUGUGUAAGUAACUGUGCACAUCUUGACGGUACCUAAUCAGAAAGCCACGGCUAACUACGUG